GGUUCUCUCCAUCCCAUCCUUUAGACCCUUCAAUUUUUUACUAUCUUGAGCAUUUCACCACCAUUUCCCCUGCCUCCACCAGCAAUGGAAACUAUGCUUAUGGUCAACUCAGCCAUAGGUGUAAUAGAAAGUUACUGUUUCAAGCAGUGGAUGAAAUGUUGGUCGAGAUUUUGAAGCCUUACAUGAACAUGAAACCAUGGGCUAGCACAUCAGUCAGUACAUGUGAUUUUAUUGCCGGUAAAAAAGACGUGCAAGGCUCACAUUUAAUUGACAUGUUAUGUUCGAAAGUUAGAAGCUUCCCCUGCGCUGACUGUCGCGUUCUUGAAGACAUUGAUGCUUUAGUAGACACAGACAUGCCACAAUUGAAGCUCCAGAGCGAGGUGGCGUUUGGCGAAGAAGGAGAAGGGAUUGUGUCGGAGGUUGAGAAGGAUUUGCUGGACGCACUAAUACAUGAAAUGGCUGUGAUUCUUCAUGGUGAUAGGGUGCAAUAGUAGUGAAACGGCAAGGCGUUUUGUGAUAGAUAGAGUAUAGUAAAAAGAGCGACAGGGAGCAGAAUGGUCACAUGGGGUCAUUCACGUGAUGAGAUGCUAUUCGUUGGGGUUGGUUGUGGACCCCGAGAUUGGGACUUGUAAAGAGGUUUGAGGUCCACACGUGGAGAGAGCUACCCUCGGCCGACAACUCUCACUUACGGAUUGGUUCUCAAAAGACCACAAUUGGCAGAGGAAUCCAUUCCCUGUUGUAUAUUAUACAGUAUUUUAAAUUUUCAUUUCAAUCUUAAAGAGGUUUAAUUAGGAAAAUAACAGGGUUUUCCUAGUAAAGGCCAAAUAUAAUAAUGUAUUAGUUGUAAUUACUGUUAUUGUUGUGGGUUUUAUCUUAUGGAACAUGGACCACGAUCUGAAUUAUGAUGUGUGAUAUAGUAUCAUCAAAAAGCAAAUAUUUGUGUAAAUGCAUGACAAAAUUAAAU
rnacentral:misc_RNA from 1 species